CCAAUAGCGUAUAUUAAAGUUGCUGCAGUUAAAAAGCUCGUAGUUGAAUUUCGGGACCAAUAUGUCGGUCGUGCCUCGGUACGUACUGGCAUCGUUGGUUUCUCCCUUCUGACGAACCAUGAUGUCAUUUAUUUGGUGUCGUGGGGAAUCAGGACUGUUACUUUGAAAAAAUUAGAGUGUUUAAAGCAGGCUCACGCUUGAACACAUUAGAAUGGAAUAAUGAAAUAGGACGUUUGAUUCUAUUUUGUUGGUUUCUAGGAUUGACGUAAUGAUUAAUAGGGAUAGUUGGGGGCAUUAGUAUUCAAUUGUCAGAGGUGAAAUUCUUGGAUUUAUUGAAGACUAACUACUGCGAAAGCAUUUGCCAAGGAUGUUUUCAUUAAUCAAGAACGAAAGUUAGGGGAUCGAAGACGAUCAGAUACCGUCGUAGUCUUAACCAUAAACUAUGCCGACUAGGGAUCGGAUGAAGUUAAUUUUUUAAUGACUCAUUCGGCGCCUUACG
rnacentral:rRNA from 1 species